AAUAACACAAUGAUCAAACUUCUUAAGAAACAGAUAUGGAGUCAUACAUGAAUAAAACUUCAGGAUUACAAUAACAUUGUUUUAAGUACUAAGAUAAGCAAUACAAUUUCGUGGAGCUAUACCAUUUAGCUUUCCAUUCUCUUCUACAUCUCAUUGUCCUUUGCGGAUAGUAAUAUUGAGGAAGAUCUCCACUUAUUGUUGUUUGGUUAUUUUAGCAACAUCCUUCAACAUAAGUGACAAAUCUAGCAUUUGAUAUUUAUCCGAACAAAUACAUUACUGUACCACUAAACUCACCCUCAAAUUGUACAUGUUUUCCUUCGUUGUAACAUUGCUCUAUCCAUUUCACAAAUCCUUUGUCGCAUCUUGGGCAUCAUUGCUUCAUUGAGAAUUCUGAAAGGUAGUGCCCCGACUUCCUGAAACCAUGACAAUUGUUAUUGCAUCCACGAAUUCUUAAAAUAGUUAUCAAGAGUUAUUCCAACUAUUCUAGAAGAUGUAGUUUACAUAUCAAGUAGUUGAUAACAUCAAAAACAUCCAAAAAUUGUGUUUGACAAAUGAUUGAUUGAAAUUUUGUUUUCAACUGCUUGAACAUGUGCUACAUACGAGGUAACAUUAUAAAAAAUACGAGGAUUCCAUAAUGAAUCAAUGUAAGGUCCUAAUCAUCUAUUGAUAUUUAGAGAGUACCGAACAAACACAAACGUUUUUAAGUUUAUUCCAAAUGGACAUUGUUGAUUACAUUUUUCUUUUCCUUCUUAGACAUAUUAUUGAACAAUUAAUCAAUUUCUCCUAAAAUUGCUUCAAGAACUUGAUGAUAACUAAAUAGCCCUCAUCUUGAGAAAGUAUAAACUAAAAUUAUUCAUGGCAGAAAUUUCUCUCUUUUAGUAAUUAUGACCCCACUUGAAAGGUUUUCGGGAUUUCAAUCUUUACUGCCUUUAGUUUAUUGACAAUUAUUUGCAAUUCAUGUCUUUGGGGUAGAAGGGGAAUGUUAUGAAGAAAUUUAAAAUCAAAGUAUUUAUAAAUUAAGAAUUUCUUGGUACAUUCUUUUUCCGCUUAGUAUUUACUCUCCAAUGCAUUCCAGAUUUCGUUCGCCGAAGUUGUAUUUGUAUACAAAUCAUAUAAAUGAUCCGACAAGGCAUUUAGGAUGUGACCACGACAAAUUAGUUCAUCUUCUUGAUGUUUCUGUCUUUCAGCCAUGAUUGUUUUGGUCCCUCCACUUGUGGGUUUCGGUAACGAUGUCAAAUCCAGAUCUAGAAUAUAAAAGAUCUUCAACACAGUAAUGUGAAACUUCAACUUAUCUUGCCACAGCGUGAAGUUUGUGUCGUCGAACCUGUCCAACCAUACAAGUCUUGAUUCAUUAGUUUGAUAGUCGCCAUUGUUGUCUUGCUCUCCAUCGCAAAAUAACGUUUGAGAUUGUUGAAAAUAUUUGAGAGAUGGAGAAGAAACAAAAAAAUAACAUGAAAAUUCGCAACAACAAAACGAAGAAAUCAAAAAGUUUGUCGAUAACAAUUUCGAAGGCUUGAACGCGGGAUUGCUGUCCUCAAACGUUAUUUGUUCCCUUUCCGGGGUUUAUGAGAUGUUUAAGGGUAUUCCGACAAAUGAUUUGAAUGAUUAUAACAAGCCUUGCAAAGAAUUUCACCAAAACACAAAGUUAAAUUCUUCAAAGCUUGAAGAACACAAAGGAUGAAUAUGAAUGAAAAAUCAUGAUUGAUUAUUUGUGGAGCAAUGUAUGGAUUACAAUAAGUUUUUAUUACUUUUUUCAUUGAACAUGACUCCACUAUAUAUAGGCCUCGUCUAUAUACUUGAAAUGGUGCCAAAAAUCGAAUGAAAGGCCACCAAAUUCAAAUUCAUAGCAUUAGAAAAUGACCACUAACGAUCACUUUAGAUGUACCAUGUGACCGCAUGAUUUAUUUUGCGACCGUCCCUAAAGUCUCUGGUGAUAGCCAUGCGACCGCAAGGACCGCUUAUUUUGGUCUCCAAUUUGUUUUUUGUUUGAUUUCAUUCUACAUUACAUUGUUCAUUUGUUGGUUUUCAACAAACAAUACACAACAGGAAUACACAGGCAACACCUCAGCUUGUAAUAUGGGGAUAGAACCACAUUGUCAAUCAAUAACCAAAAAUCCAACGUAUAAUAACUGAGAGAACUGAUUAGGGACUUGUUGAUAUAGUGGGAAAAUUAAAUCCACCUCCAGUAUAACAAGAUCAUUAAGAGCCUCCACAACUUAGACGAAGUGAGAGGGUUAAUAUAUCGCCCUCUAGGUAAUUACUCUAUGGAGAGUUUUUCCAGGUAGUUUCCAUUGAGCAAAAAGUGGAUCUCACAUUAUUUAAAAGAGUCAUGGAGGACAUAUACACAAUAUCAUUGAAAAAUGCUAUGAAAACAAAAAAUGGAGUCACAUCUAAAAGAGUCAAAAUCAUUGGGUGCAAGUGGGUUUGUAACAAAAAGAGAAGAAUAGAUGGACAGAUAUGGACCAUUAAAGCUAGACUUAUGACAAGGGUUUUAUCCAGAGAAUGUCUCGAUUACAAGGAGACAUUUUCUCCAGUAGCUAUUCUUAAGUGCAUUCGAAUUGUCAUAUCCAUUACAGUAAAUUAUGACAUUGAGAUAUGGUAAAUGGAUGUCAAGACAACCUUGCAACUAGAUAGAUUUAUAAUAAAAGGGCAUGAAAGGAAAACUUAUAGUUUACAAAGAUCCAUCUAUGAUCAUAAACAAACGUCUAGGUCUUGGAAUAUUAGAUUUGACCAAACUAUUAGGACUUAUGGUUCAGUCAAAAAAUUUGGACGAGCCUUAUCUUUACAAGCUCAUCAAGACAACAAAAUAAUUUCUCAUACUUUACAUAGAUGAGAUAUUACUCAUUGGUAAUGAUGUAGGGACAUUGUCAUUAGUAAACGAAAGGUUUGAACAACGAUUUGAUAUAAAGGGCAUGGGAGAUGCUAGUCAUGUUCUAGACAUUUAGAUCGUUAAAGAUCUAAAGAACACGAAGAUAGCCCUCUCUCAAGCCUCAUAUAUUGACAAAAACUGGUUUGAUUUGCUAUGCAAAAUUCGAAAAGGGAAUGCUUAUUUUUUAGACAUGGAGUACACAUCUCUAAGGAGCGUUUUUUGAAAAGUCCUGAUGAGGUAGCAUGGAUUAGGUAGAUUCCUUAUGCAUCUACAAUAGGAAACCUCAUGUAUAAUAUGCUUUGCACUAGAUCAAAUAUUUAUUAUGUUGUGGGAUUGUUAGUCGAUGUUAGUCUAAUACUCGAUUAGAGCAUUGGACUGUGGUUAAAUAUAUACUCAAAUGAAUUAUUCGACAUUAUAUUUUGAACAAAUAAAUGUUAUUUGAUUAUUUUUAUGUGUUCAGUAUUGAGCAAAUAAUAAAAUGUAUCCUGAUCACAAAUAUUAUUAUAAAUUGAAUACAUAAGUUGUUAAGUAUAGAUAGCUUUACUUUAUGAAGUAAUACAAAAUAAUUGCCCAUAGCGCAUCAAUUCUUGCCAAAAUAGCACCCUCGGUCGAAUGGAGUGAUGGAUUGUUCAUCGCAAGGACUGCAUUCAACCAAGAUCCCAGCCUCGGGCAUUGAGGACACCAUUUUCGGAGGUAGCUUUACCCUAUAUAUAUUAAUAGAUUCUCCAACAUCCUCAAUAGCACCUCUCUGGCACUAAUUCCAGCUGACAACACCCUAUUGGAAGAAAUCUCUCUCAUCCAAAAUUGUCAUCUCCACGGGGUAGAAGAUGAUGGCGUGAGAUGUGUCUUCCUCCACCUCCGAACAUCUACUGAGGUUGGGGCUAACUCCAGUUGUUUACUCUAAAGCAUGAUUUUGAUGGCAGGAUGUCUAAUAAAGCCCUCCAUAUGGUUUUUAGUGGGACAUCACUACUCCACAAACAUUUCUACCAUUCUGUAAACAUUUUGGAAAGUGGUUCUAUGCCACCCUUAUCCAAAGACAGCUCCAGUUUGUAACUAGAUUUCACAAAGUACACUCCAUGCCAAUCGAAACGUCUUCUUCAAGGGGUUUACCAUCGAAAAUUAAAAAAAAAUCAAUUUUGAAUAUGGUGGCAAGAUUUAUUCUAUAAUCCUCUCUCUGCUCUGUGAGGAAUGUAUUAACCACUAAGAUGUUUGCCAGACUCAGUUUAUCCUUCCAAUUUCACCACAAUCAAAAAACUAAUCGGCCCAUGAUAAUGCCAAGUUCUUCCCACUUACGGUUGCCAAGAGAGUAUCCACGUAGGAGACCAAAAAAGGUAGGAAAUAACACAAUAACAAUUACCACAUAGGCAGAGAUGAAGAGUGAAGGCGACGGGCAAAGAAGUAGAAGAUCGAAAAUCUCACAAGGAAGGAGGCGCAUAGUUUUUUCUCAAGAGAAGAGAACACGGCCCAAAUAUAUUCAAGCAUAUGAGGUCAAGUAAGGUAAGGGUAACUAAUGGAUCAAGUAAGGCCCAAGCAUUAAACAAAUGAGCCACUAAGUGGGCUUCUGUCAUUUUGGUCAUCCAAGCAAGUGAGUUGGGCCAUGAGCAACACUAAAAAUUUAGGUCUCUUCAAAUAGUCCAAUUAACCUUCAAGUUGGGCCAUUUCAAUUGUGGUGCUAUAUUUUCUAUUUAGUCACUUGCUAAAGCUGACUAGGAAUUAAUAUGAAUUUACAUCACAGCCUGGGAGAUCGUUUGACAACAAUUUGCCCAACAACCUCCACCUUGGUAUCAAGUGACCUGCAAAGAAAAUAUAUCUCUAAUUAGUGACACCUUUAAAAAGAGAACCAAUAAAUUGAAAAUCAUUUACCUGUUCUAAUGUUUAGAAGAUCCUUACAACUUUUAAACUUUACCAGUGGUAGCACUUUCGUGUCCAUAACUAAAGGGUUGUAUUGUGUAUGGACUUUUUGAAGUCUUAUCACCUCUUGUAAUAUAAUAUCUCUAAUGAAAAGUUGUCUAACAUUAAUGUGUUUAGUGCGUUCAUGAAAAAUAGGGUUCUUACGUAAAUGUAUAAAGACUGACUAUUGGAAUACACUACCACAUAAUCAUUCAAGACACACAAUUCAUAAAGCAAACCUCUAACCCACAGAGCCUCUUUAAUUGCUUCAGUGGUAGAUUCUGACUAUAUUGUGGAUAGUGUAACAAUGUAUUGUAACUGUGAUUUUCAACUAAUAUAAGAAUUAGAUAAGGUAAACACAUAAGAGGAUAUUGAUUUCCUACCUCUAUCCCCCGCACAGUUAGCAUCUACAAAAUCCUUUAAUUUCACAUCUUCCUUACUAGCACCAAACUUAAGACCUAUAUCACUAGUACCAUUAAAAUACCUUAAUAACCACUUUAAGGCUUCCUAAUGUUUAGGACUCGGAUUAGAAAUGUACCUACUGAGAGUACUAACAACGAAAGCUAAAUAUGGUCUAGUCAAACCGUCAAAUACAUUAUGGAACCAAUCACAUUAGAAUAUAGAACUCUACUCAUAUAUUCUACUUCACGUUCAUUGCAAUGAGCUUGAUAUUUAGAUAAUACAAAGUGAUUAGCUAGAGGAAAUGUGACAAGUUUGUAAUUAAUCAUAUUAAAUCUCUUCAACACUUUAGAAAUAUAAGGAGAUUGAUAUAGAAACAAAGCAAAAUUUGACCUACCUCUUUCGAUUUCCUUGCCUAGAAUUCUCUUAGCCUUACCUAGGUUUUUCAUUUAAAAUUCACCUCUUAGCUUUGUUUUUAUGUUAGUUAUCCACUUAGAUGAUGAACCAAUCAAAAGCAUGUCAUCCACAUAGAUCAACAAAAACAAAUAAUUGUUGUUAGCUUCGUUGUGUUGAAAAUACAUACAGUGAUCAAACUUACUUCUUUGGAACCCUAUAGUGAGUACAAAAGAGUUAAAUCUUUUGUUCCACUAUCUGGGUGAUUGUUUCAAGCCAUACAAAGACCUUUUUAGGAAACACAUAUGAUCAGGUUUUAGCUUAUCCUUAAAACCUUUUGAUUGAUUCAUAAAUAUUUGUUUGUCAAGCUCACCAUGUAAAAAAAUUGUUUUUACGUAAAGUUGUUCAAGUUCCUAGUCAAAAUGUGCAACCAAUGCAAGCAUGACCCUAAUAGUAGUAUACUUAGCAACUGAUGAGAAAAUCUCAUUAUAAUCAACACCAUCCUUUUGUAUGUAGCCCUUAGCCACUAACCUAGCCUUAAAUCUUAAGGGUUCCGAGCUACUGGUACCUUCUUUAACCUUAAAGACCCAUUUGUAAUCGACGGUCGAUUUAUUCUUAGGUUUAUGUACUAGCUUCCAAGUCCGAUUCUUCUCUAGAUAACUUAUCUCUUCUUUCAUUACCUUAAACCACUCUUUGGACUGUUCACUCUUCAUUGCCUCCUCAAAUGUUUUUGGCUCUCUAUCAACUAGUUCUUCGUAACUAGCGUGGGCGAAGGCUAACUCAGAUUCAUAUCUGAAUCUCCUAGGCUCUCUCGUUUGUUUCCUCUCUCUAUCCCUAGCUAAAUUGUAAUUGGCCAAUGGAUUUUCUUCCUCGGGAUGCUCUUCUAUCACUACAUCAUCUCUAUUCUCCAACCCGAGUUCCUGAACCCAAGUCUCCACCUCAUUUGGAGGAAUAGGGACAAAUGUGCUAAGCUUUCCUAAUUCCACCUUAAACCGAUUUCUCUCUUCACCUGGUUCUGUUUUACUCACAAGUUCAAGUUCACCCCCAAGGCAGGGCAUCUCACGCUCAUUAAACGUGACAUCCUUACUCGCGAUGAUCUUAACCCCCUUUUGACUUCUAUCACAUAACCUAUAACCCUUAACACCCUCAAAGUAUCGCAGAAAGAUAUUUUCUAGCUCUAGGUUCAAGCUUUCCAUUACUUUAGUGAAAGAAAGCAACACAUCCAAAAGUUCUAAGUAUAAAGUAAUCACUCAGUUUACCAGACCAACUUUCAUGAGGAGUGUAGCCAUUUAAGGUAGCAGAUGGUGUCAAUUAAUUAAAUAACAAGCAGUCAUAAUAGCUUCACCCCACAAAAUGACUUUGGAACACAAGAACUUAACAUCAUGCAACGUACUUUAUCAAGUAUGGUUCUAUUCAUCCUUUCCGCUACCUUGUUUUGUUGGGGAGCGUAAGAAAUAGUCUUAUACCUUGUUAUUCCAUUUUCUUUACACAUACUGUUAAAUUCAGUGUUACAAAACUCUAGGCCAUUAUCUUGUUCUUAAGAAUUUAAUCCUUUUGCCAGUUUGAUUUUCCACUUGUAUUUUCCAGUUAUUAAAGUUAUGGAAAGUAUCGAAUUUAUCCUUCAAAAAAUAAACCCACACUUUCUAGUGUAGUCAUCAAUAAUAGACAAGAAAUACAUAGUCCUACAUGAUGUGGAAUUACUAGUAGGACCCUACAGAUCAGAAUGCACAUAUUCAAGAAUGUCUUAGCUUUAUGAACACUAGUGGAGAAAGAUGCUUUAUGAUGCUUACCAAGCACAAAGUGAUCACAUAAUGACAAAUCAAACACACAGUCAUUACCAAAUGCACAUUUUUCAUUAAGAAACUUAAGUCCCUUAAUGCCUACGUGUGCAAGCCUAUUACGCCACAUAUGUGUGUGAUCAAUCUUGACUAAAGAGAUAGAGGAGUUUAAACCUCUAAUCACUUCUCCAGAGUGAUAUAAAUGUUGUUUUUCUUAGUUCUCUUAUUAGAGAUUAAAGCACCCUUAACCAUCUUUAACGUUCCAUUUUCAAUUUUACCCGUGAAGUAAUCUUUUUCAAGCCUUCUUACUGAAAUCAAAUUCCUAGACAGUUCAAGAAUAUAUCUAACGUCUUUCAAGGUGUACACAAAACCGGUGUCAAACUUGAUAUUAAUGUCACCAAUUCUAGCAAUUGUAUGGGCGAAAUUAUCACACAGCAGAACAUGCCCAGUAUUAGAUUCAUGCAAGUUUUUAAACCAAUUCUUUUCGAAUGUCACAUGAAAAGAUGCACCAAAAUCAAGUAUCCACUCUAGCAUGUGGAAAUUAGCUGUUAUAUUUAGUUCAGCAGUAUAAGCAAUGGGAAUUCUAAUCAUAUAAACCUCACCGUCAUCUAAAUCGAAAGCAGAAGACAACACAUUGACCUCGUCUCUCUCCUUGACCUUUAGCUUAUCCUUCUUCUUAUAACAAUCUUUUAUAAAAUGCCCUUUUCCUAGACAACUCGUUGACUUCAUUCUAGACUUUGAUCUAGACCUACCGUUGCCCUUCUUCUUCCAUCCAUUACUACUUGACUCGCCGCUACUUUGGUAUCCAUCAUGACUGUUUUGCUUAAACUGAGUACUGCCCUGCAUCAUAUGUGUUUUACCACUUUUCUUAUCAUAUUUUUCAACUCUAAUUUCCAUCUCCUUAUUCUAAGAGAGUCUAUCACAAUAUCAGGCAUGAAGGUAUCCCUACCAUACUUAAUGACAUUUUUAACUUCCUUAUAUGAGUCAGGAAUAAAAUUGAGCAAGAUUAUGGCCUUAUAGGCUCCAGACACAGCCUCAUCACAGUUAACAAUAUCUUGCACUAAUUUGUCAAAUACAUCUAAACUGUCAUCAAGAUCCUUUGAAGGAUCCAUUUUUUAAAGCUGGAGAAACGCUCAAGUAAAUAAAACUUGUUCGGUUGUAGAUUUGAGCAAAUAUAGAUCUUCCAAUUUUUUUCCAAAAUUCUUUAGUAGUUUUCAGUUUACCCACCUUUUAUAAAACGACGUUGGACAAGUAUAAAAUGAUUGAAGUAUAAGCAAAUUCAUCGACUUCUUCUUUUUGUUCUUUUGAAAAAUCAAUUGAAAAAUUGUCUUCAAUGGCUUUUGAAACUUUUUGCUGGACCAAAAUACCUUUCAUUUGUUGCCAAAUUGAAAAAUCACAUUUUCCAUUAAAAAUUUCCAGAUCGAAGUUGUGAGUUGCCAUCUUUACACAACAGCCAAAAAAAUACAAAACACAGUCAAACCAUACAAAGUAGUCCUCGGGUCAUAAACAAUAUGCUCCAUUCUAAAUUCUCAGGGUUUUGUAAGACUCGUGGUCUUAAAUCAAGGGAAUGUUCAAACGGGUAAAGUUUCGGUAUUCUAACGGAAUUAGUAAGUAGCAGAGAUAACAAUGCAAUAAAAAAUUAGAUAUGUCUAGCAAAUACCAAGUUUUACGACAAUUAUAACACACAGAACAAUAUUCUGACUUAACAAGAACAAGUACUCAAUCAAAUAGUUAAGAUUAAGUAAUCCUAAUUUCUAACACAAGCAAUGUUACCCCUCACAGUAACCACAACCCUAUUAUCACCCCACACGAUAACAUGCUAAUGUUGGAAAUUAGACGGGUUAAGCCAAUUUACCAGAGCGAACUUAUUUGAGUCCGUAAAGUCAAGAGAUGCGAAUUUGAUACUUUAGGACCACCACUAUUCGCCCUAAAGAUUCAGCAAUUGUACUAAUACCAAUCAAUCACAAACACAGAAUUAUAUCUAGGGCCAAAUUCGUCCAAUUUUUCUCGCGUAACCUGAAACACUAAAUAGACCACAUCAAUACGUUCAGAAUAUUAAAAUAAAUAAAAUGCCUGAAAAAAAUCUUGUCUGAAAACUCCAUAUGCACCACCUCAAAAGAAGCGCAUCGAUCUGCUGAUUAUAGAUCCGGCCUCCAUUUGUCUAAUGGAGGUCGAAUUUGGGAGAAAUUGAAAGAUUUCGAAUACGGUUGCAAGAAGGAUUUGGCCCUCUAUCUCAACUUUUGGUAGGAUUUUUGGCUAAAUUUCCACCACCCAAGCUCUGAUACUAAAUGUGGAGAAUGUAUUGACCACCAAGGUGUUUCCCAAGCUCAGUUUAUCCUUCUAAUUUCAUCACAAUAAAAAAACCAAUCGACCCAAUACAAUGCUAAGUUCUUCCCACUUACGAUUGCCAAAAGAUUAUCCACAUAGGAGACCACAAAAGGUAGGCAAUAUGAUGUGAACCAAGAAUCAAACUUGAAGACGACGAGUUCAAGGCGAGACCCGUUGACUAUCGAAGGUGGACCGAUGAUGCGAUCGAGAGCAAAGCAAGUGAAACAAGUGAUGGGAUUGCUCAUUUGAGAAACCAUUGAUGGGAUGAUGUUCGGGAUGCAAAACGAGGCAACUUUCAUGUUCGGGUCAAAAUAGAUCAAUUCAAUACAAGCAGACGAAGUCGAGGGCAAAAGUGAUAGCUAUGCGGUCGCAUAGCUAUAAUAGGCAUGCGACCGCAUGCAUAGAGGCAGGAACUAUGCCAACAUAGUUCAAUUGAACUAUAAGACCGCAUAGGUUUACAUUAUGUGGUCGCAUAGUAUUAAAUCGGGCAGAAAUUUUCCUUUUUCGCAUUUUUUUCGUAUUUUAUUAUAAUUCUAUUUUUAGUCAAAUUCUAGAAAUAUUGGACGAGUAUUUUUCAUAUUCUACUAGAUUGUUAGAAUUUUAUUCCUUUUCAAUUUCCAUUCUAGGAUCUAGUAUAAAUAGAGCUCAAUUCUUCAUCUUUUUUUUUUCUUUUUUUUUUUACGAGACAUUAUUUGAGAUUCAACACGAAAUGCAAUUUUGCUUUCAAUUCCUUGUUCUUAAUUGAACACAUUGAACUUAUCAAAACUAUUCUUGUGGUGUUCUACAAUUCGGGUACGGGUCUUCGAUUGUGUAAUCAAGGGGUCCUUCAAGCAACAUUCUUGCUGGGUUUGUUUGGUUCAGUAAUUUAAGGUUCAAUCUUCAAACCUUUUAUUUGGCUUUUCUGGGGUUUUGGAACAAUCUAGUUGUGGGUUUCGUAGUCAACGCUGCUACGGGAUUCGGAUCACAAUAACUCAAUAACAAUUACCACAAAGGCAGAGAUGAAGAGGGAAGGCGACAGGCAAAGAAGCAGAAGAUCGAAAAUCUCACAAAGAAGGAAGCGCACAGUUUUUCCUCAAGAGAAGAGAACACAGCCCAAAUAUAUUGAAGCAUAUAAGGCCAAGUAAGGAAGUUACAGUAGGGUAACUAAUGGGUCAAGUAAAGCCCAAGCAUUAGACAAAUGGGCUACUAAGUAGGCUUCUCUCAUUUUGGUCAUCCAAGCAAGUAAGUUAGACCAUGAGCAAUACUAAAAAUUUAGUUUGCUUCAAAGCCCAAUUAAUCUUCGGGUCGGGUCAUUUCGAUUGUAGUGCUAUAUUUUCCAUUCAAUCAUUUGCCAAAGCCGACUGGGAAUUAAUCUGAAUUAACAUCACAGCCUGGGAGGUCGUUUGACAACAAUUUGGCUAACAUGCUCCAACUUCCAUUUGUAUGCAUUAAGUCUAUAGCUGUAAGAAGAAAGUCCCCAACGCUUAGAGUAAUGGGAAAGAAAGAAUUAGGCCAUGGUGUUAGAAAUAAAACAGGUGAGUUGAAACUAAAAAGCAGCAUAAGAUAUCUCGGAGAGAAAUUAACUCUCUGAUCCUAUUUCAACUUUCCAAGAUUUCCCAACCUCACAUGACCCUCGGAGUGAAAAAGCUUCUAGUUGUUAAAACGGCUUUAGUACUAUGGAAAGGAAAAAUUGGCUUCCAUUAGAAUUAUAACUAAGUGAUUGUUAGGGCUUCGAAAAUAAUAUUGCGUUGAAUUAAUUGAAUACAUUAUGGUAACGUAACUCUUCUCUUUCACACAAAUAAGCAACAACUUUCAAGGAAAACGGAUAACACUCAUUAAGGAAUUAACACAAUUACCUUUUGUGGGAGCAACAAGGAAACA
rnacentral:lncRNA from 1 species